GAGAACCGUUGUGGCGAGCGCUACACAAGGCAAACGACUUCUCCCUUCUCUGAACUGGACCCCGCGAGCACCAGAGUCGGCGUAACUAUCGCCUGACAGGGUAUCUGAAGUAAAAGGGGCAUUUAAAUCAAACGGUAUUGAGAUGGAUUGGGUUAUGAAACAUAAUGGUCCAAAUGACGCUAGUGAUGGGACAGUACGACUUCGUGGACUACCAUUUGGUUGCAGCAAAGAGGAAAUAGUUCAGUUCUUUCAAGGGUUGGAAAUCGUGCCAAAUGGGAUAACAUUGACGAUGGACUACCAGGGGAGAAGCACAGGGGAGGCCUUCGUGCAGUUUGCUUCAAAGGAGAUAGCAGAAAAUGCUCUGGGGAAACACAAGGAAAGAAUAGGGCACAGGUAUAUUGAGAUCUUCAGAAGUAGCAGGAGUGAAAUCAAAGGAUUUUAUGAUCCACCAAGAAGAUUGCUGGGACAGCGACCGGGACCAUAUGAUAGACCAAUAGGAGGAAGAGGGGGUUAUUAUGGAGCUGGGCGUGGAAGUAUGUAUGACAGAAUGCGACGAGGAGGUGAUG
rnacentral:sRNA from 1 species